GACGAACGCUGGCGGCGUGCCUAAUACAUGCAAGUCGAACGAACCGCGACUAAGUGCUUGCACUAAGUCAAGGUGAGUGGCGAACGGGUGAGUAACACGUGGGUAACCUACCUCAUAGUGGGGGAUAACAGUCGGAAACGACUGCUAAUACCGCAUAGGACAUAGGAUCACAUGAUCCAGUGAGGAAAGGUGGCGCAAGCUAUCGCUAAGAGAUGGACCCGCGGUGCAUUAGCUAGUUGGUAGGGUAAAGGCCUACCAAGGCGAUGAUGCAUAGCCGACCUGAGAGGGUGAUCGGCCACAUUGGGACUGAGACACGGCCCAAACUCCUACGGGAGGCAGCAGUAGGGAAUCUUCCGCAAUGGACGCAAGUCUGACGGAGCAACGCCGCGUGAGUGAAGAAGGUCUUCGGAUCGUAAAGCUCUGUUGUUAGAGAAGAACAGCGCAUAGAGUAACUGCUAUGCGUGUGACGGUAGCUAACCAGAAAGCCACGGCUAACCACGUG
rnacentral:rRNA from 1 species